GACAGAGGGUGCAAACGUUGUUCGGAAUUACUGGGCGUAAAGCGCGUGUAGGCGGCUAAGUAAGUCGGGCGUGAAAUCCCACGGCUCAACCGUGGAAGUGCACUCGAAACUGCAUAGCUAGAGUCCUGGAGAGGAAGGUGGAAUGCUUGGUGUAGAGGUGAAAUUCGUAGAUAUCAAGCGGAACACCGGUGGCGAAGGCGGCCUUCUGGACCGACACUGACGCUGAGGCGCGAAAGCGUGGGGAGCAAACAGGA
rnacentral:rRNA from 1 species